GAACGGGGUAGCAAUACCCAGUGGCAGACGGGUGAGUAACACGUGGUCAACCUACCUCCGCGUGGGGGAUAACUAGCCGAAAGGUUAGCUAAUACCGCAUACGAUCGUUUGAAGGCAUCUUCGAACGAUGAAAGGAGCAAUCCGCACGGAGAGGGGACUGCGUCCCAUUAGUUAGUUGGUGGGGUAACGGCCUACCAAGACUCCGAUGGGUAGCUGGCUUGAGAGAGCGACCAGCCACACUGGAACUGAGACACGGUCCAGACUCCUACGGGAGGCAGCAGUGAGGAAUUUUCCGCAAUGGGCGAAAGCCUGACGGAGCGACGCCGCGUGUGGGAAGAAGGCCUUCGGGUCGUAAACCACUGUCGAAGGGGACGAUAUUGACGGUACCCUUGGAGGAAGCCCCGGCUAACUACGUG
rnacentral:rRNA from 1 species